rnacentral:rRNA from 1 species
UACGUAGGCAGCAAGCGUUGUUCGGAGUUACUGGGCGUAAAGGGCGUGUAGGCGGUUGCUUAAGUUUGGUGUGAAAUCUCCCGGCUCAACUGGGAGGGUGCGCCGAAUACUGAGUGACUCGAGUGCGGGAGAGGAAAGUGGAAUUCCUGGUGUAGCGGUGAAAUGCGUAGAUAUCAGGAGGAACAUCGGUGGUGUAGACGGCUUUCUGGACCGUAACUGACGCUGAGACACGAAAGCGUGGGUAGCAAACAGG